rnacentral:lncRNA from 1 species
UAUUUUUAUACUAACUUCAUAAUUAUUCCUAUUUAAUAUUUAUGGACUCGGUUUACAGAAAUGAGAUUUUGAAAUCUCAUUUUCUGACACCACUAGAAACUGGGUUGUUAUACUUGUAGAAGCCCAAUUUCACCCGGGCCCAUUACAAACAAAUAAAAUACAUACACCCAAACCUCAACCCACCUAAACACUAACCCAACACCCAUGACCCAAACAUCAGCCCAAAUAAAUUAAAACCCUAAUGGCCUAACAAGCCCAAAACCUAAACUAUUUUCAGCCAAAAAAAAAGAAAGAAACAAAAAAAACCUAGCCGCUCUCCCUAGCUUAGCGCCGCAACCACCCUUGGUCUUCUGCUCACCUGCUCUGCCAGCAACCACCGCCAACUGCCACUGUC